AUGAAAGCAUAGGUAUCUGUGUUGAACUACAGUGUAUUCCCAUAAUCCUAAAUAGUUUGUCCUUUGAUAAAAUGCUUUCUACACGGACAGCAACUUAUGUGCUCAACUGCUGUUUACAUGGAUGCAGCUAUGUAACCAAAGCUUCAAGAGCUUGAUUUGGAAUGUAAAGGAAACAAAUCCUAUAUUCCAAUGACAAGCAGACAGAUCAAGUGAUGAUGGAAAAUCCUCAUGGGAUAGAUGAAAACAGGAAGGAGUAUAAAUGCCUUUUUUGUGGAAUAUAAAAAAUUCAUACCAGCAUAAAAAAAUGAAAUAUUAAUAUGACUUUCUCUUCACAAAUCAGGGAACUCCUGAAGCUGCUUCUUUUUGAGAUUUCAUAAGAUUUAAAACCUAAUUUAGUCCCAUUCCAUCCUAGGGUGUUUAUACUUGGUUGCAGCAAUUUUCAACCACGAGUAUCAUCCAGAAUCUUAGCUAUUCAGUGAAAGAAAGCAAAAUGAUGAUUACUAUAUGUGCUUUAUCAAAAACUCUAAAUGAAUGCUACAACGGUUUAAUUCCCAAAGCUGUAUGAACAACAUGCACUGUUAUUACAUACACCUUCAUCCUACAUUUUUCUUAUACGUGUCACCAUGAGAAAUCCUGAAGUUGGCUUCAGCAUUUCACAUUAAACACAGCCAGGUUUCAACAUAAUGAACUACAGUUACCAGCAUCGUGUAGGAUAUUAGCGAUGAACAAUUCAACCAUUGAAUGGAAAAGAAAACUAAAUAUCAAAUAUAUUCAAGAAAAAUAAAAGAAACUGCAGGAUGCUAAUUAGAUGAAGUUGGAAGCAAGUACCUUUUUCUGAAUCUUUCGGU
rnacentral:misc_RNA from 1 species